rfam:Rattus norvegicus chromosome 15, whole genome shotgun sequence.
GGGGAUUUAGCUCAGUGGUAGAGCUCUUGCCUAGCAAGUGCAAGGCCCUGGGUUCAGUCCCCA